rnacentral:lncRNA from 1 species
AACAAUGCUAAGUAAGCUUUAAUCAAAUUCAAAGAAACCUCAAAUGAACUACAAAGAAAUAAUAAGAAAUAUUAAAGAAAUAUUAGAAUGAUCAUAAAUAUAUCUCAAAUACAUCUCAAUUCAAUCUUAAUUUAAUCCUAAUUAAAAUCCUAUUGGACUUCAUUCAAACUUUAGGCCAAAUCUAACUAAAUCUUAAAUCUUAAAUAAACCCUAAUAAAAUCCUAAAUCCUAAAUCAAACUCUAAUCAAAUCCUAAAUCUUAAAUCAAAUCCUAAUCAAAUCCUAAAUUCUAAAUCAAAUCCUAAUCAAAUCCUAAAUUCUAAAUCAAAACCUAACCAAAUCUUAAAUCCUAAAUCAAAUCCUAACCAAAUUCUAAUUCUAAAUCAAACCCUAACCAAAUCCUAAUCCUAAAUCAAAUCCUAACCAAAUCCUAAACUCUAAAUCCAAUCCUAAUCAAAUCUUAAAUCCUAAACCAAAUCCUAACCAAAUCUUAACUCUAAAUCAAACCUUAAUCAAAUUCUAAACCCUAAAUCAAAUCCUAACCAAAUCCUAACCCUAAAUCAAACCUUAAUCAAAUCCUAAAUCCUAAAUCAAAUCCUAA